GGAUCGACGGCGGUGAGCUGGGAGGCGGUGGCCCAGACUGUGCAGGCUUAUGCACCUAGCAGCAAGAGGUACGAGGCCAUUUAUAUUGGAAGGUCGGCUCUGAACGCGGGGGAGGAGCGGCGACUGCUGGCGCUGCUACACGAGGAGGGCAUCCGCACCCCCGAUGCGGGCGCCACGCGCAGCGAAGUCACAAGUGCCGGUAACCUACGUCUCUUCAUUUGUGAUGAACCUCCUGUGACUUCCGGCCCGUAACUUGGACCCGGCAAUCGAGAAGUGGCGCCAGUCUCCAGGCGCGGACCA